ACAGUUAUAUCACGUUGAAACACCGGUUCUCAUAUGAUCACUGAAGUUAAGCAAUACCGAGCCUGGUCAGUACCUAGAUGGGUGACAGCUUGGGUAUACCAGGUGG